rnacentral:snRNA from 1 species
AUACUUUCCUGGCAGGGGAGAUACCAUGAUCCCAAAGGUGGUUUUCCCAGGGCGAGGCUUAUCCAUUGCACUCCUGAUGUGCUGACCCCUGCGAUUUCCCCAAAUGCGGGAAACUCAACUGCAUGAAUUGUGGUAGUGGGGUGUAGCAUGAAUCUUA